CCUACGGGUGGCAGCAGUGGGGAAUAUUGGGCAAUGGACGCAAGUCUGACCCAGCAACGCCGCGUGAAGGAAGAAGGCUUUCGGGUUGUUAACCUCUUUUAAGGGGGAAGAGCAGAAGUCGGUACCCCUUGAAUAAGCCACGGCUAACUACGUGCCAGCAGCCGCGGCAAUACGUAGGUGGCAAGCGUUGUCCGGAUUUACUGGGUUUAAAGGGAGUGUAGGCGGGGAGACAAGUCAGCUGUGAAAUCCACGGGCUCAACCCGAGAACUGCAGUUGAAACUGUUUCCCUUGAGUGUCGGAGAGGUAGUCGGAAUGCCUUGUGUAGCGGUGAAAUGCAUAGAUAUAAGGAAGAACACC
rnacentral:rRNA from 1 species